GAUGAAGAACGCAGCGAAAUGCGAUAAGUAAUGUGAAUUGCAGAAUUCAGUGAAUCAUCGAAUCUUUAAACGCACAUUGCGCCCCCUGGUAUUCCGGGGGGCAUGCCUGUCCGAGCGUCAUUACAACCCUCAAGCUCAGCUUGGUAUUGGGCCCCGCCGCUCCGGCGGGCCCUAAAGUCAGUGGCGGUGCCGUCCGGCUCCGAGCGUAGUAAUUCUUCUCGCUCUGGAGGUCCGGUCGUGUGCUCGCCAGCAACCCCCAAUUUUUUUCAGGUUGACCUCGGAUCAGGUAGGGAUACCCGCUGAACUUAAGCAUAUCAAUAAGCGGAGGA
rnacentral:misc_RNA from 1 species